GCGAUAGAAAAGUUCAUGGGCGCAGAGGGGCGAGCUCGAGCUUUCCUUGGUAAUCGGGACGUCCCGAGUGCCCCGCCGCGGUCCUGCACCUGGCUUGUUCCCGGCGCUCUCCUUCCCUGCCUCAAUUUCCCCUCCCUGUAAGACUAAUGAAAGUGAAGCAGAGCACAGACCACGUGUCACCAGCACUGCUACUGCUAUUCCUGGGACAGGUCAAGUAACACUGACCACUUUGCCCAUUUCUAAUGGGAUUUGGUUCCAGGAUCACACAUCUCUCACCAGAAGAGCUGACUGCUGACCCUCUGCCACUCCAAAGUUAUUGGAUACACUAAGGCUAAAUUUCCCAAAAGCACAGAUUUUAGGGCCAAAUUUGCUGCUCGAGUGGAUUCUGGUGGGCUUUCCCCUCCCCUGGAGAGAUUCAACUCAUGACGGGAACAGUCCAGAUGUCUGCGGACCUAGUAUCUGCCUCCGUGGCACAGAACAUCCACUCUGCACAUCCAGAUCUGGAAGGCAGCAGAUCAGGCAGGGGUAGAGGAGGUGGGGUGCAAGUCCCUGGGCUCCUCAAAGCCCCUACCAGGCCUCAGGUCCCCCAGCCAGCCAUAGGGGUUAUAGGAUCACCAGAGGUUCCUGUCAGCAACUGACCAAGAAUCCAGAAGUUUGUAGAAAAUCACUGACCUGAAAAACCCAAUACCAACAGAAGAGGACUCAGAAGAGAGGAGUGUGAGAAGCAGAAUAUGCUCUUGUCACGAAGAAACAACAAGAGCAAGCGCAUUGGCUCAGCGCCUGUGGCUCAAGCGGCUAAGGCGCCAGUCACAUACACCUGAGCUGGCGGGUUCGAAUCCAGCCCGGGCCCAUCAAACAACAAUGAUGCCUGCAACCAAAAAAUAGCCAGGUGUUGUGGCGGGCGCCUGUAGUCCCAGCUACUUGGGAGGUGGAGGCAGGAGAAUCGCUUGAGCUCAGGAGUUGGAGUUUACUGUGAGCUGUGAUGCCUCGGCACUCUACCCAGGGCAACAGCUUGAGGCUAUGUCUCAAAGAAAAAGAAAAAAAAAAGAGCAAGUGCAUGUAGGCUCUGGGGCUGCUGCAAGAGUAUCACAAACCCUGUGGCACGCACAGAAAUUUUUCCUCUCCACAGCCCAGAGGCCAGAAGUCCCAAUCCAGGUGUGGGCUUACAUAACAUACGCUUCCCUAAGAAUCUACAUGCAGCCACCUAGUGGGGCCUCUGGGUCCCACCCCACGGAGGCCUCUCCUAGGAAAUUGAUUUUCUUAUUCCAAGGCAGAGCCAGUUCCAAAUACUCAACAAUAAAAGGGGGGGCAUCUAUCCUCCCCUGAGACUCUCCAGUCAGAGCCAUGGUCUUGCUGGUCAAGAGGGGCCUUACCCAUGUGUGGCCUGGUAUUGUUUGGGUCUUUGUGGACACAUGUCCCAUCAGUGAUGGGGUGAGUGACCCAGGAAGGUGCCAUGGGCCAAGUCCUUGCCCUGCUUGCCACCCCCAAAGUAAGUAUUGGAUGUAGCUGUCCCUGUGUCACUGCAGUGCCCGCAAAAAAGCAGAUCCUGCAAGGCCUGUCUCUGGCCAGCAUCCUCAGGCCGCAGGAGAGGCCUAGGCCCCAGGUUCAGUGCAGUGUGUCCCAAAGUGGCUGUCAGGCUCCAUGGUUGUCACCUCCUUCCUUUGGUCUCUAGCAAUGAGCCCUCUGGGGCUUCUGCUCACAGCCCCAACUCUGGUCCUGGGUGACAGCCUGGCUUCUAGCCAAGGAGCAAGAGGGCAUCAGUCAGCUGAGGCUGAGAAUUGGGUCAUGACCCUGCUCCUGCAGGCUUCUUUCUAUAGCCAGUCUCAUCACCACACCCUUCCUCUCUUCUGCCUUGUGUGUGGGUAUAGAGAACUCACCAAUACCUGGGAGCAGUGAGACAUGAGGGCACAGUAGGCAAAAAAGGGGCUGGUUUCUCUGACCUGCAGCCCUUCCUCUGACAUAGCCAGGGCUGCAUGCAGUUGACAGUUGGAGGCAUCAUCUAUGUUCUGUAUUUUGUAGGUCAUAUCAAAUGUCAGGUGAUGGAUUUGUGGGGACAUAGGUACCUUCCUCAGAACUUCGUUAGUACUGUGCACGUCCUCUGAGGCCAAGCCUGGGGCAGGGCAUCAAGGGGACUUCCCACAGCAGGGUCUGCCCACCUCGGUGGAGGCAGCCCAUGUCUCAGCCCUGGUCUGGCUGGACACUGUGGCUUGGGAAGCAAGUGCAGGC